rnacentral:rRNA from 1 species
UUCCUACGGGGGGCAGCAGUGGGGAAUAUUGGGCAAUGGGCGCAAGCCUGACCCAGCAAUGCCGCGUGAAGGAAGAAGGCCCUCGGGUUGUAAACUUCUUUUAUCAGGGACGAAGGAUGUGACGGUACCUGAUGAAUAAGCUUCGGCUAACUACGUGCCAGCAGCCGCGGUACUACGCAGGGAGCAAGCGUUAUCCGGAUUUACUGGGUGUAAAGGGCGCGUAGGCGGGAUGGCAAGUCAGAUGUGGAAUCCUGGGGCUCAAACCC